GAUGAACGCUGGCGGCGUGCCUAAUACAUGCAAGUCGAGCGAACAGACGAGGAGCUUGCUCCUCUGACGUUAGCGGCGGACGGGUGAGUAACACGUGGAUAACCUACCUAUAAGACUGGGAUAACUUCGGGAAACCGGAGCUAAUACCGGAUAAUAUAUUGAACCGCAUGGUUCAAUAGUGAAAGACGGUUUUGCUGUCACUUAUAGAUGGAUCCGCGCCGCAUUAGCUAGUUGGUAAGGUAACGGCUUACCAAGGCAACGAUGCGUAGCCGACCUGAGAGGGGGGCCGGCAACAGUGGAACUAAGACACGGUCAAGAGUCGAACGGGAGGAAGCAGUAGGGAAUUUUGGACAAGGGACGAAGGCGUAACGGAGAAAGGCAGGGGGGGUGAUGAAGGUCUUCGAAUCGUAAAACUCUUUUAUUAGGGAAGAACAAAGGUCUAAGAAAAUAUGCACGUCUUGAGGGUACGUAAUCAGAAAGCGAAGGCUAACUACGUG
rnacentral:rRNA from 1 species